rnacentral:rRNA from 1 species
UUAUGUGUUCCGCACUAAGACGCUACACGUAAGGGAGGGAUGCCUCCGUGGAGGACUUUCUAAGGGAAACUGACUCGUAUUACAUUCCUUGGAUCGUACCUUACUACUUGGAUAGCUGUGGCAAUUCAAGAGCUAAUACAUGCAGCAGAGCUCCGACCCCCUGGGAACGAGCGUUUUUAUUAGACCAAAACCAAUCGGACCUUGUGCCCGUAUUAUGUGGUGAUCUGUAUAACUUUGGGCUGAUUGCACGGGCUCGUCCCGGCGACGUAUCUUUCAGGUGUCUGCCUUAUCAACUGUCGAUGGUAGGUUACGCGCCUACCUUGGUCGUAAUGAGUGACCGGGAAUCAGGGUUCGAUUCCGGAGAGGGAGCCUGAGAAACGGCUACCACAACCAAGGAAGGCGGCAAGCCCGCAAAUUACCCACUCCCAAAACGGGGAGGUAUUGAUGAAAAAUAACAAUACGGGACUCUUUUGAGACCCCGUAAUUGGAAUGAGUACACUCUAAAUCCUUUAACGAGGACCAAUUGGAGGGCAAGUCUGGUGCAAACAGCCGCGGUAUAGUUCGACCGUCUCAAAGGCAACCUUGGCUGGCCUUCUGCCAAAACACCUAGACUCGUCCAAAAGGGGCGUUAUUACUUGCUGCGAAGUGAAAGCCUUCUGUCCUCAGGAAAGAGAGAAUGGAGAGAAAAGAAGUCCCCAUCCUUCCCCCCCUAUUUUGAGAAUAAUUCGGUCCGAAUGGCGCAUACGUGUUUACGCUCAUGGGCGUGGAUGAGGCGAUCGAACUAUAAUUCCAGCUCCAAUAGCGUAUA